rnacentral:rRNA from 1 species
UGGGGAAUAUUGCACAAUGGAGGGAACUCUGAUGCAGCGACGCCGCGUGAGUGAUGAAGGAAUUCGUUUCGUAAAACUCUGUUCUAUGGGAAGAAAAGGACUGUACCAUAGGAGAAAGCUCCGGCUAAAUACGUGCCAGCAGCCGCGGUAAUACGUAUGGAGCGAGCGUUGUCCGGAAUUAUUGGGCGUAAAGGGUGCGCAGGCGGCUUUACAAGUUGGAUGUGAAAUAUUGUGGCUCAACCACAAACGUGCAUCCAAAACUGCAAAGCUUGAGUUAAGGAGAGGUAAGUGGAAUUCCUUGUGUAGCGGUGGAAUGCGUAGAUAUCAGAAGGAAUACCGGUAGCGAAGGCGACUUACUGGACUUAAACUGACGCUCAGGCACGAAAGCGUGGGGAGCAAACAGG